GAUGAACGCUGGCGGCGUGCCUAAUACAUGCCAGUCGAGCGAACGGACGAGAAGCUUGCUUUUCUGAUGUUAGCGGCGGACGGGUGAGUAACACGUGGAUAACCUACCUAUAUGACUGGGAUAACUUCGGGAAACCGGAGCUAAUACCGGAGAAUAUUUUGAACCGCAUGGUUCAAAAGUGAAAGACGGUCUUGCUGUCACUUAUAGAUGGAUCCGCGUUGCAUUAGCUAGUUGGUAAGGUAACGGCUUACCAAGGCAACGAUGCAUAGCCGACCUGAGAGGGUGAUCGGCCACACUGGAACUGAGACACGGUCCAGACUCCUACGGGAGGCAGCAGUAGGGAAUCUUCCGCAAUGGGCGAAAGCCUGACGGAGCAACGCCGCGUGAGUGAUGAAGGUCUUCGGAUCGUAAAACUCUGUUAUUAGGAAAGAACAUAUGUGUAAGUAACUGUGCACAUCUUGACGGUACCUAAUCAGAAAGCCACGGCUAACUACGUG
rnacentral:rRNA from 1 species